AUACGUAGGUGGCGAGCGUUGUCCGGAAUUACUGGGUGUAAAGGGCGUGUAGGCGGGGAGACAAGUCAGAUGUGAAAUACCGAAGCUUAACUUCGGGGCUGCAUCUGAAACUGUUUUUCUUGAGUGUCGGAGAGGAAAGCGGAAUUCCCAGUGUAGCGGUGAAAUGCGUAGAUAUUGGGAGGAACACCAGUGGCGAAGGCGGCUUUCUGGACGACAACUGACGCUGAGGCGCGAAAGCGUGGGGAGCAAACAGGAUUAGAUACCCUGGUAGUCCACGCCGUAAACGAUGGAUACUAGGUGUAGGAGGUAUCGACCCCUUCUGUGCCGGAGUUAACACAAUAAGUAUCCCACCUGGGGAGUACGGCCGCAAGGUUGAA
rnacentral:rRNA from 1 species